rnacentral:rRNA from 1 species
UGCCUUGUCUCAAAGCUUAUGCCAUGCAAGNCUCAGUACAAACUGUAUUAAAGUGAAACCGCAAAAGGCUCAGUAAACCAGUCAUGAUUCACUUGAGUAAACAUGACUGUCUUUGGAUAACUGUGGUAAUCCUAGAGCUAAUACAUGCAAUCAAGUCCCGACCAAUCUGAUUGGGAAGGACGCUUUUAUUAGAUCAAGACCAAUCGCCCGGCUUCGGUCGGGCGUUUCCUUGGCGACUCUAGGUAACACAUCAGAUCGCAUGGUCUCGCACCGGCGACUUAUCUUUCAAAUGCCUGACUUAUCAACUGUCGAUGGUAGACUCUAUGUCUACCAUGGUUGUAACGGGUAACGGGGAAUCAGGGUUCGAUUCCGGAGAGGGAGCCUGAGAAACGGCUACCACAUCCAAGGAAGGCAGCAGGCACGCAAAUUACCCACUCCCGGCACGGGGAGGUAGUGACAAAAAAUAACGAUACGGGACUCAUAUGAGGCCCCGUAAUCGGAAUGAGUACACUUUAAAUCCUUUAACAAGGAUCCAUUGGAGGGCAAGUCUGGUGCCAGCAGCCGCGGUAAUUCCAGCUCCAAUAGCGUAUAUUAAAGUUGUUGCGGUUAAAAAGCUCGUAGUUGGUUCUGCGUGCUACGCUGUCGGUUCGCCGCCUGCCGGUGUAACUGGCAUGCCGUGGCAUGUCCUGUCGGUGGCGUUCGGGUGCCUCGUCUAGGUGAGACCUCCGAACCGAAAGGGACGGGUGGUUAUUCAACCGGAGGUUUCCCCGUUCGCCUACUAUAUCCUACCUAGGUGCUCUUCACCGAGUGUCGAGGUAGGCCGACACGUUUACUUUGAACAAAUUAGAGUGCUCAAAGCAGGCUAAAAUUUCUGCCUGAAUAGUGGUGCAUGGAAUAAUAAAACAGGACCUCGGUUCUAUUUUGUUGGUUCUUAGGAACACGAGGUAAUGAUCAAUACGGACAGGCGGGGGCAUUCGUAUUGCGACGUUAGACUUGGCAAAUGCUUUCGCGGUGAAAUUCUUGGAUCGUCGCAAGACGCACAAGAGCGAAAGCAUUUGCCAAGUAUGUCUUGAUUGAUCAAGAACGAAAGUUAGAGGUUCGAAGGCGAUCAGAUACCGCCCUAGUUCUAACCAUAAACGAUGCCAGCCAGCGAUCCGCCGAUGUUCCUCCGAUGACUCGGCGGGGAGCUUUUUCCCGGGAAACCAAAGCUUUUGGGUUCCGGGGGAAGUAUGGUUGCAAAGCUGAAACUUAAAGGAAUUGACGGAAGGGCACCACCAGGAGUGGAGCCUGCGGCUUAAUUUGACUCAACACGGGAAACCUCACCAGGCCAGGACAUUGGAAGGAUUGACAGAUUGAUAGCUCUUUCUUGAUUCAGUGGGUAGUGGUGCAUGGCCGUUCUUAGUUGGUGG